CGCAACGUGGACUGCGGGGCUUUGCCUGCCAUCUCUUACCCAUGUCUUUUGAGUACCUUCGUUUCCUCGGCGGGUUCGCCCGCCGAUUGGACAAAACUUAAACCCUUUGUAAUUGAAAUCAGCGUCUGAAAAAAACAUAAUAGUUACAACUUUCAACAACGGAUCUCUUGGUUCUGGCAUCGAUGAAGAACGCAGCGAAAUGCGAUAAGUAGUGUGAAUUGCAGAAUUCAGUGAAUCAUCGAAUCUUUGAACGCACAUUGCGCCCCUUGGUAUUCCAUGGGGCAUGCCUGUUCGAGCGUCAUUUGUACCUUCAAGCUUUGCUUGGUGUUGGGUGUUUGUCUCGCCUCUGCGCGCAGACUCGCCUCAAAACGAUUGGCAGCCGGCGUAUUGAUUUCGGAGCGCAGUACAUCUCGCGCUUUGCACUCACAACGACGACGUCCAAAAAGUACAUUUUUUACACUCUUGACCUCGGAUCAGGUAGGGAUACCCGCUGAACUUAAGCAUAUCAAUAAGCGGAGGAA
rnacentral:rRNA from 1 species